GACGAACGCUGGCGGUGUGCUUAACACAUGCAAGUGGUGCGACGAACCAGGCUUCGGCCUGGGGCAAAGCCGCGAACGGGUGAGUAACACGUGGGUAAUCUGCCCCGAUGACCGGGACAACCCGAGGAAACUCGGGCUAAUACCGGAUGUGGUGCCUGGACAUAAGUCCGGUCACUAAAGGUAGCUUCGGCUUCCGCAUUGGGAGGGGCCCGCGGCCCAUUAGCUUGUUGGUGGGGUCAAGGCCUACCAAGGCAACGAUGGGUAGCUGGUCUGAGAGGACGAUCAGCCACACUGGGACUGAGACACGGCCCAGACUCCUACGGGAGGCAGCAGUGGGGAAUCUUGCGCACUGCGCGAAAGCGUGACGCAGCAACACCGCGUGAGGGAAGACGGCCUUAGGGUUGUAAACCUCUUUCAGAUGGGACGAAGGUUGUCCGGUGAAUAGCCGAGAUGAUUGACGGUACCGUCAGAAGAAGCUCCGGCUAACUACGUGCCAGCCGCCGCAGUAACAC
rnacentral:rRNA from 1 species